rnacentral:lncRNA from 1 species
AACGGGAUGAGUAAAGACAGUAAGUUGCUUCACAUUGGUUGUAGUUAAAUUUGCCAUCAAGUGAAUUCAGGUCAGAUAAGGUUCUAUCUCCAUAUAAGUUACAAAAACACUUUCGGUUUUCAGAGCUUUAUGGAUUUCGGAAUUUCGGAUAAGGGAUUAUGGACCUGUACUUCCCUGAUAGGGUUGUUAUGAAGAUUAAAACAAGAUAAGACGAAAACAUUACACAAUAAUGGGUAGGUACUCAAUACAUUUUUUACCCUUUUGGAGAUGUUAGAAGUUUUAAUUUGUAUUUUUAUUUAUAAUUUUGAGGCUUUGUUUUUUUCCUGAGGAGGAACUAUUUACUGUCCUAAAAAUAUUCAGAUGGGCUUAGAAAUGUUCUAGAGACUGAAUCUUGAAAAAUAGAAGCAGGUAAGAUGCAGACUUCGGCAUUACUAACCAGUCUGGAUUUCUUGCAGGUAGAGUGUUGGGUGUAACUGUAGGUUGAGCUUAGCUGGUUGGGGAGUCAUAUUUGAGCUUCUUUGGGAUCUUAGAAGGAGAGCUUGUCACUGUUUCUUUUUGUCUACAGAAUGAUAGAAGGAAGUCAAGGCACCAUUCUGAAUCAGAGGAGAGAACAGAAACAAGAGAAAAUGGUGUUACAGAUGACCUGGAUGCUCCCAAGCCCAAAAAAGCUAAAACGAGAGAGAAGCUAAAUGGAGACACCAAAGAAGGACUUAGAUUUUCAGAUGAAUUUUCCCCAUCUCAUAAGUCAAGAAGAAAAGACCUGCCAAAUGGAGAUGUGGAUGAGUAUGAGAAAAGGUCUAAACGAGUGUCAUCCUCAGAAAACUCUCACAAGUCAAGUGAUAAAGCAGA